GAAAUGCGAUAAGUAAUGUGAAUUGCAGAAUUCAGUGAAUCAUCGAAUAUUUGAACGCACAUUGCGCCCGCCAGUAUUCUGGCGGGCAUGCCUGUUCGAGCGUCAUUUCAACCAUCAAGCCCCCGGCUUGUGUUGGGGACCUGCGGCUGCCCGCAGGCCCUGAAAAACAGUGGCGGGCUCGCUGUCACACCGAGCGUAGUAGCAUACAUUCUCGCUCAGGGCGUGCUGCGGGUUCCGGCCGUUAAACGACCUUCAUAACCCAAGGUUGACCUCGGAUCAGGUAGGAAGACCCGCUGAACUUAAGC
rnacentral:misc_RNA from 1 species